CCUGUUCCAGUUGAAAACACUUGCAGCGGUAAUGGAGAAGGCAAUUCUCGCUGAGAGUGGAGGCGAGGCUGUAACAAAACACAACCAAGAGUAGAUGAAGACGAAGAGUGAAGGUGAAGUUAAAAUGGUGGAGGUAGUAACGGUGGAAACAACAACAACAAUUUGAAGAGGAGGUGGAAUGCAAGUGUGGGAGCUGGAAAUCAGCAAGGAAGCCAGCAAAAGAAGACGUUCGAAGUAUGUGCUACAUGCGAAAAGUUUCACAAGGGUGUGUGCUUGAUGGGGAAACAAGUAUGCUUCAACUGUGGC
rnacentral:lncRNA from 1 species